UACCUCAGCAUUAUCACCCUGCAGCUCAUAACUGGUAACCCACUAAAGAUAAGCAGGUGUGUGCCUUGCCAGUACCUGGAUGGGAGACCUCCUGGGAAAAUUAAGGCUGCUGCUGGAA
rnacentral:rRNA from 1 species